rnacentral:rRNA from 1 species
GAGUUUGAUCAUGGCUCAGAGCGAACGCUGGCGGCAGGCCUAACACAUGCAAGUCGAGCGCCCCGCAAGGGGAGCGGCAGACGGGAGAGUAACACGUGGGAACAUGCCCUUCAGUACGGAACAACCAAGGGAAACUUUGGCUAAUGCCGUAUACGCCCGUAAGGGGAAAGAUUUAUCGCUGAAGGAUUGGCCCGCGUCUGAUUAGCUAGUUGGUGGGGUAAUGGCCCACCAAGGCGACGAUCAGUAGCUGGUCUGAGAGGAUGAUCAGCCUCACUGGGACUGAGACACGGCCCAGACUCCUACGGGAGGCAGCAGUGGGGAAUAUUGGACAAUGGGCGCAAGCCUGAUCCAGCCAUGCCGCGUGAGUGAUGAAGGCCUUAGGGUUGUAAAGCUCUUUCGUCAGGGAAGAUAAUGACGGUACCUGAAGAAGAAGCCCCGGCUAACUUCGUGCCAGCCGCCGCCGUAAU